rnacentral:rRNA from 1 species
UACGAAGGGGGCUAGCGUUGUUCGGAAUUACUGGGCGUAAAGCGUGCGCAGGCGGCUUCUCAAGUCAGGGGUGAAAGCCCAGAGCUCAACUCUGGAAUUGCCUUUGAGACUGAGUGGCUUGAGUACGAGAGAGGUGAGUGGAAUUCCCAGUGUAGAGGUGAAAUUCGUAGAUAUUGGGGAAGAACACCGGUGGCGAAGGCGGCUCUCUGGGACGGUACUGGACGCUGAGACGGCGAAAAGCGUGGGGAGCGAACAGG